GAACGGUGUGCUUGAGGAGGUCUGUCGAAUCUUGAAAGCUUAACAGAUAUGGGGUUUUGAAUUUUUUAUUUUUAUUUCUUUCCUGUCCCCAGUAGAGCGUAAACCUUUGGAGGAACCUGUCACAGGAAAGAGCUCCUUCUGGAACUGUUCAGCACUCGCUGAAACACAGUGUACGACACGGGACUUGACGACCAGAGCUGCUUUUGGCAAGGUGCCGUGGCAGGCUCUCCACAGAAGCGGUUGAGGAUUUGAGAAGAGGUUGCAGAUGAUCAAGGAGCGACACGUGCAGGGAUGGCUUGAAAAGGGUAUGGCUGCUUUCUCUUCUGUUUAUCAGGUGUCCCAGGCAAUGUGGGC
rnacentral:lncRNA from 1 species